GAGAAACAAGACAACUAGAUAUACAUAUCAUAUAAACCAAAUAAAACUUACUUACACGUAAUUCAUGUAAUUCCACCACUUUUUCAUUCAAGGUUCACUUUUCAUCCAUCAAUCACACUUUUCAAUCAUCAAUCACAUUACACAAGAAUCACACACUCUAAUCAAGACAUAAUAACACCUCAAUUUCAUAAUAAACAAUUAGCAAGCGCAUGUGACAGUUAUGCUAAGACUCAAGCCUAUAUGCAAUGU
rnacentral:lncRNA from 1 species